rnacentral:rRNA from 1 species
AUGGUAACAUGUUCAGCUGACCGAUACUAAUAGAUCGAGGGCUUGACCAAA